UUAUGCAUGAGCCGGUGCCUGCUGCUGCUGUCUCACCUCCCCCGUAUCUACGAUGAGAAGACGGCAGCAGUAUGGCUGAGAUUAUACGGCUGUAACUUGAUCUGGAUAAUACCAGCGAAAGGAUCAUGACUGCUACUCCC
rnacentral:ncRNA from 2 species